rnacentral:rRNA from 1 species
AGUGAACGCUGGCGGUGGGCCUAACACAUGCAAGUCGAACGGCAGCACAGUAAGAGCUUGCUCUUACGGGUGGCGAGUGGCGGACGGGUGAGGAAUACAUCGGAAUCUACUUUUUCGUGGGGGAUAACGUAGGGAAACUUACGCUAAUACCGCAUACGACCUACGGGUGAAAGCAGGGGAUCUUCGGACCUUGCGCGAUUGAAUGAGCCGAUGUCGGAUUAGCUAGUUGGCGGGGUAAAGGCCCACCAAGGCGACGAUCCGUAGCUGGUCUGAGAGGAUGAUCCGCCACACUGGAACUGAGACACGGUCCAGACUCCUACGGGAGGCAGCAGUGGGGACUAUUGGACAAUGGGCGCAAGCCUGAUCCAGCCAUACCGCGUGGGUGAAGAAGGCCUUCGGGUUGUAAAGCCCUUUUGUUGGGAAAGAAAAGCAGCAGGUUAAUACCCCGCUGUUCUGACGGUACCCAAAGAAUAAGCACCGGCUAACUUCGUG